rnacentral:tRNA from 1 species
GGGCCCGUAGCUCAGCGGUAGAGCGCCGCCCUUGCAAGGCGGAGGCCUCGGGUUCAAAUAUUGGGUCCUCAGGACUCACUGAAAGUCCCGACGGGUCCA